rnacentral:pre_miRNA from 1 species
AGUGCACCAGUGGGGUCCCUCGGCCUGGCCUGCGUCCUCUCACAAUCUGGGACCUCUCGGGGAUGUUGGACUGCCAGUUUCAGCCCAAUCCCCCGCAGGCCAGGCCGAGGGACCCCAUUGGUGCAUA